CCUAAUUCCUCCUGUAUGUUGCUCUGGAUAAGAGCAUCUGCUAAAUGACUAAAA
rfam:Salmo salar isolate Sally breed double haploid chromosome ssa01, whole genome shotgun sequence.